AGCGGCGGACGGGUGAGUAACGCGUGGGAAUAUGCCCUUCUCUAAGGAAUAGCCUCGGGAAACUGAGAGUAAUACCUUAUACGCCCUUCGGGGGAAAGAUUUAUCGGAGAAGGAUUAGCCCGCGUUAGAUUAGGUAGUUGGUGGGGUAAUGGCCUACCAAGCCUACGAUCUAUAGCUGGUUUGAGAGGAUGAUCAGCCACACUGGGACUGAGACACGGCCCAGACUCCUACGGGAGGCAGCAGUAGGGAAUCUUAGACAAUGGGGGAAACCCUGAUCUAGCCAUGCCGCGUGUGUGAUGAAGGCCUUAGGGUCGUAAAGCACUUUCGCCAGAGAUGAUAAUGACAGUAUCUGGUAAAGAAACCCCGGCUAACUCCGUGCCAGCAGCCGCGGUAAUACGGAGGGGGUUAGCGUUGUUCGGAAUUACUGGGCGUAAAGCGCACGUAGGCGGAUUAGUAAGUUAGAGGUGAAAUCCCAGGGCUCAACCCUGGAACUGCCUUUAAUACUGCUAGUCUUGAGUUCGAGAGAGGUAAGUGGAAUUCCGAGUGUAGAGGUGAAAUUCGUAGAUAUUCGGAGGAACACCAGUGGCGAAGGCGGCUUACUGGCUCGAUACUGACGCUGAGGUGCGAAAGUGUGGGGAGCAAACAGGAUUAGAUACCCUGGUAGUCCACACCGA
rnacentral:rRNA from 1 species